rnacentral:rRNA from 1 species
AGAAUCAACGCUGGCGGCGUGCCUAACACAUGCAAGUCGCACGAGAAAGGGGAGCAAUCCCUGAGUAAAGUGGCGCACGGGUGAGUAACACGUGAAUAAUCUACCUCCGAGUGGGGAAUAACUGAGAGAAAUCUUAGCUAAUACCGCAUAACACUUACGAGUCAAAGCAGCAAUGCGCUUGGAGAGGAGUUCGCGGCCGAUUAGUUAGUUGGCGGGGUAAUGGCCCACCAAGACGAUGAUCGGUAUCCGGCCUGAGAGGGCGCACGGACACACUGGAACUGAAACACGGUCCAGACUCCUACGGGAGGCAGCAGUGGGGAAUUUUGCGCAAUGGGGGAAACCCUGACGCAGCAACGCCGCGUGGAGGAUGAAGCCCCUUGGGGUGUAAACUCCUUUCGAUCGGGAAGAUAAUGACGGUACCGAUAUAAGAAGCCCCGGCUAACUCGCGCCAGCAGCCGC